rnacentral:snRNA from 1 species
AUACUUACCUGGGCGGGGUUGAUCGGUGUUCAGGAAGGCUGAUAGCCUAGGGCGGCUGCUCCCAUUGCACAUGCGGGGGUGGGUCUCCCUACCAUCCCUCUUAAUGAGGGAAUGGACGUCAUAAUUUGUGGCAGGGGGGGUACGCGUUCGCGCGGCCCCCAC